rnacentral:lncRNA from 1 species
AUAUAAUCAGCUCUCUCUCUGAUGAUAUCAUAGAUAAGAUUCUUGUGCGGUUAAGGCUUGAAGAAGCCAUAAACACCAGCUUACUGGCAAGAGAUUGGAGGUAUAAGUGGCAGACCAUGUCUGAAGUUAUUGUUCACUAUAGUCAUUCAUUUUCAAAUUGUGAAAACUUCUCUGCUAAAAUCAAACGUUUCCUCUUACUCCACAAAGGAAAUAUUCAGAGAUUUCAAUUUAAUGGCUUGGGUCAUCAUUAUGAAGAUGUGAACAUAUGGUUAGAUCAUUUGGAUGGUGCUCAUCUUAAUCAUCUUGAAUUGGCUAUGCACAAAGACUCUUCGAUUCCACUCUCUGUCUUUUCUUUUGAAAAAAUGGUCACCAUGAAUCUUAAGGGCUAUAUCUUAUUUCCUACAUCUUUUGCCAGGUUUCAAGUUCUGACCACUCUCAGUUUUUGUUUCGACAAAUAUGAAAUUGGUGGUUACAAAAAACUUGAGGAAUUGAUCCAUUUGUGUCCACUUCUGAAGCAUUUGAAGAUUGGUGUUCCUUUAUCUGAUUGGGUGCCUAAAAUCUCUAUUUUAAAGUUAAAUGCUCCAAAUCUCCAUACCUUGAUCUUUUUUGAUCGGAAUGGUAGUUUGCAAAUUAUGAAUGCACCAUUGAUUACUUAUGCAACUGUUUAUUUGCGUGAUUUGAAACAUCUUCUUGGCCUCCUAAAUGUUGUUCAUCUUCGAAUUGCUGUUGAAUUUGCCUCAUACUCGGUAAAAAUUUACUUUUUACAUAAUAUCAAAUUAAUUUAUUACUUGUCUGAUGCAAAAAAACUUGUAUUUUUUGCAGUUUUCCUGCCUUAAUUGUAAUAAGUUAACAAUACAAAAGAUCAAAUUUAACUUUCUGAAAAAACUUGUCAUCCUAGUGAAUUUGAAUUAUCUUCAUCAAUAUGAAAUUGCUCUUUGCAUUCUGAUAAACUCUCCGGUGUUGGUUUCUCUCAUCAUACAACAAUCUGUAAGUUGUAAUCUUCAUUUUCCAUUUUUUUACUUAUUACAUCAUUCAAAAUUAAAUUCUUUUUUUUUUCAUAUAGGUUCGAUUAACGAAUAUGGUAGAUUUUCCUUCUAUAUGGCCGGAACAUCAUAGCAUAUCGUUCGACUUCAAACAUCUUAAAUUCUUUGAAAUGGAAAUUGCUUUUGGAUCGAAAUGGGAAAUGAAAAUCAUUGGAUUUGUUCUUGGGAAUACAUCUUUGCUUGAGGUUUCUAAUUUUAAAUGGGCUUCUCGUUCUACACUGAGUAUUGAAGAGAAGACAGAUAUUAUGAACAAGUUGAUGUCAGUAAAAAAAGCUUCCACAUCUGUGGAAGUAAAGUUUGCAGAGAUCAUUCUGAAAUGAAGUGUCUACCUGUUAAUGAAUUUUUUCCUGUAGUUUGAAGCCAUUCCUUAUGAAUCAUCUUUAAAAGAGAUCAAAUUCAACUCUUUGAAAAAAACUUGAACUUUAUGUGAAAAUCUGGGUUCUCAAGAAUGUGCGAUACUUUGCUGCAUCUUAAAAAACUCUUCAUCAUUGCUCUACAUCUUAGUAUAAUAACAAUCGUUGUAAGUUCUUGAUGUGAAUCUGGGUUGUUCUCAAGAAUGUGUGAAACUUUGAUGCAUCCUAAAAAACUCUAUCAAUGCUACAUCUUAGUAUAAUAACAAUCUUUGAAAGUUUUAAUGUUUAUUUUUCAUUCGUUUGGGUCGGGUAUUGGCCUUAGUCGGAGAUCCUAUCCAUGGUCGGCCUUAGUCGGAGAUUUUAUCAUGAUAUAAAAGAUUGUGUUUAUAACUUCUUCUAAUGUUAAUUGCCUAUGAAUCUUAUCAAUGAUAUCAUCAGGUAACUUACUAAGCCUGUCUGGGGUGAAAAACCUGUUGUAUUUUAACAUCUUUUUUAUUUUUUAAGGAAAACUUUGCCAUCUUUUUUUGUUCCACUACUUGUAAAUGAUUUGUCUUGGUUUCUAAUUGCAUAAGGAAUUCAAUGAGAUUGAACUUCUAUGGUGGUGGAUAAUUUAUGCAAUUGUCUCUUCUAAUGGACCUGAAUUUUAUGUUUAGUUGAAUUUUAACUCAUUUAGAUAUUUUUUCUAAGUUAAAUUUUUGUAUUACAAUUUCCUGCGUAGAAUAAAACAGCCUCUUGGUGUUUUGACUUGAAUUUGCAUUCGAAUUUCGAAUCACCAAAUUUGAAUAGUCUUAAACAAAUUCUGUGAAAUCUAAUUUGUUGUCGCCUUUGAUCCAUUUAAUCAAAAUCUGAUCCAAUAUAUUUGAGACAUAUCAUAUUUCCAAUAUAUUCCUUCAUUUCUAACUUGAAGGAGAAUUUCUUUUAUAUUUGAUCCAUCAUUUUAGUCAAUUUUCGUCUAGUGAUGAAACAUAAGUAAGACAAAGGAAAAAAAACUAGUUUGAAUAAAGAAAAUAUUUGAAAUGUAAUUAUUGACCAAAAAUGUAGUUUCAUCUCAGUUCUCAUUUCAUCUCAAUUAUCAUCGACUGUUUCACUUAUGAAUAUGCAAGUUUUUAUGUUUACAGAUCAUAUUAGUUUACUUCAAAUCCAAUAUGUUCAGUUCUUGAAUGAUUUUUUAUUUAUUUCUGCUUGAUAUAUGCUUAUGUUCAAAAGAAAAAAUUCAUUUAAAAGAAUAAAAACAAUAUAUUUGAAUAAUUUGAUUAGAUAAUUGUGAUGGGAUUGUAGAGACCAAACAGUUUGAAGUAGAAAGACAUAGUGAUGUUUAAUAAGUAUGAGAUGACAAGUCAUUGAAGUCUUUAUAGGGUUAUGGUAUAGCUGCAAAGAUUCUAAGAUGCCUACUUACUUUCAUGUUUCAACGGAUACUUUUUAUCUCAUUCUGAUUUUUUUCAAAUUUAUGUCAGCAUGUUACUAUCAUCAUUCAUCAUCAUCAUGGCACGUCCGAUCAAUCAGUCUCCAUCUUUUCUGUUUAAAUCACAUUACCUUCUACUGUUUUUUUUCUAUCUUUCCCCCCUUUUUUUCCUCCCUCAACUGUUUGAUUGACCUUUGUUUCUCUCUCUCACUCACUCUAUAAAUAGUCAUUUCAUUGUGAAUAUUUCAGUCAGAAUCUGUUGCUCCUUCUUCUAUUUCUGGGUAUCUCUAAAGCUAACCCAUUUCUCCUAUCAUCAUCAAGGUAAAAAUACUGAUUCACUCUUUUUUAUACUACAGUUCUACUUCACUGGAUUCAUAUAUAUUAUGUUUUCUUUCCAUCAAAAUUUUUCUUUGAUGUUUUUUAUUGUAUUUUCGUUGGUUUUCAUGAUUUUUAAGGAAUGGCUGAUUAGGAUUUGGAUCAAGACAAAGAUGGUCUUAGUUUUCACUAUCUAGAUUUCUUAUAUAUUUUUACUAUCAUUCAAUGACUGAUGAGUUUUUACUAUAAAUCUCAUGUUUUCUUCAGAUCGUUUUCUCACUCCAUAACCAUUAAUCUGUCUUAUUGGGUGUCAUUAGUUUUUGCAGGUUUUCUUUUAUUUCUUCACUGGUAUGUAAUAUGACUGUUUGUUUAAUUCUUUAAUUUUUUUAAUUUUUUUUUAGUUUUCAUUUUAUUUUCUAGCUGUAUUUAGUAAAGGAACAAGGGUGAAAAAUGUGUAAGAAUCUUGAUGAUACCCCAGAUCUGAAAUCAAAAAAUGAUAUAAUCAGCUCUCUCUCUGAUGAUAUCAUAGAUAAGAUUCUUGUGCGGUUAAGGCUUGAAGAAGCCAUAAACACCAGCUUACUGGCAAGAGAUUGGAGGUAUAAGUGGCAGACCAUGUCUGAAGUUAUUGUUCACUAUAGUCAUUCAUUUUCAAAUUGUGAAAACUUCUCUGCUAAAAUCAAACGUUUCCUCUUACUCCACAAAGGAAAUAUUCAGAGAUUUCAAUUUAAUGGCUUGGGUCAUCAUUAUGAAGAUGUGAACAUAUGGUUAGAUCAUUUGGAUGGUGUUCAUCUUAAUCAUCUUGAAUUGGCUAUGCACAAAGACUCUUCGAUUCCACUCUCUGUCUUUUCUUUUGAAAAAAUGGUCACCAUGAAUCUUAAGGGCUAUAUCUUAUUUCCUACAUCUUUUGCCAGGUUUCAAGUUCUGACCACUCUCAGUUUUUGUUUCGACAAAUAUGAAAUUGAUGGUGGUUACAAAAAACUUGAGGAAUUGAUCCAUUUGUGUCCACUUCUGAAGCAUUUGAAGAUUCGUGUUCCUUUAUCUGAUUGGGUGCCUAAAAUCUCUAUUUUAAAGUUAAAUGCUCCAAAUCUCCAUACCUUGAUCUUUUUUGAUCGGAAUGGUAGUUUGCAAAUUAUGAAUGCACCAUUGAUUACUUAUGCAACUGUUUAUUUGCGUGAUUUGAAACAUCUUCUUGGCCUCCUAAAUGUUGUUCAUCUUCGAAUUGCUGUUGAAUUUGCCUCAUACUCGG